CCCUAGAACAGGCAGGGACUGAGGGAUGCUGGGAGAACCCGGAGGCCAGGUCCAUUUUGGUAUCUCAGGUUAGCCUGCAACUCACUAUUGUAAAUUUAGUUCUCCUCAAAGGUACAAUCCUCUCGUCUCAGCCUCCAGAGAACCAAGAUUUGGCACUGAGUAGGCAUUUCACUCAAGAUUGAACAGUGGAACUACUUGCUUGGAAGAGAAACUCUCCUUGCUGAAAUGAAGGCGGCGUCUUGAUACAAAGAUGCCCCACCACUCGGAAGAUCCUGGAGAUCAAACCCUUAUAGGCAAGCCUCAGCCUCACAAUGUGAAGCCAGGAGGAAGGGUUUUGAUUGGCACUAAGAAGCUCAAGAUCUAAUAUAAAAAGGAACCAAGCAUCAAGCAAGCCAAGAAUAAGGGUCCCUUAUACUAUGGUGGAGUAAUAUGGUGGUUUGAAUAGGAAUUGCCCUCACAGA